AAUCAGAUUAAACAUUUGUGUUAAAUGGUCUUUCACAUAUCGAAUGUUAUCAGUUGGAUACUCUAAUACUUAUGGUCUAUGUCUGAGAUGACCAAACCAUGGCAAUAUGAAUCUCUUAGUAAUGCAGGUUAAAUUAUUUUAUCCAGUCAUCGAGAAACAUAAGAUGUCCUAACAUUUUACAAUUACACUAUUUGAAACAUAUGGAAGAUUGAAAGGUUGGUUAAAUUGUGUUGUGCUUCCUUGGUAUGGGGUCAAUUCUCUGCAUUGUUAUUCUUUACUCUUUAUGUUUUGGAACAACUCCUGUAGAGGUAUCUUAAUUUGAUUAGGUACUGGAAAAAUAAGCCACAUUUAAACAUCUGUAUAGCCCUUACUGGGUAUCUUUUUAUCAGCAAACAAAUGGGUACUUUUAGUUAAGCAUGCUUACAGCUACAUUCUAAGAGACCAAUAUGCUUGGUAUGGAAGAAAUAAUUAAGCAUUUCAAGGAUUGCACGUGUUUUUGUUUAUAAGGAGAUGCACCAUAUUACAUUGUUAUCAGCAUUAAGCGGAGUUCUUGUCUAUAUCUGAUUGUCUAAGCCAUUUUCCAUUGUCUAUUCUACUAAAUACAUAUAUACACCUGAUCUGUACAAAGGCACAUGGUUAUAAACAAUAAAAAAACACUCGCAACUUCUGCAUUUGUUGAGAUUGUAGUUUAUGUACACACAUAUAUAUUUGUGUAUAAUAUUGGGGCUGCAGGCCUGCAGUGGAAAUCUUUUAGUUAUUAUUAGCUCACACCACUCAUUUUCACUCUCAUUUUUCUGGUUGAUCACUAGAAUACAUAAUAGUGAAGCAAAAAGACUUAUGAUAGCAUGCUCACAUCUUUCUUUACUCUCAAGCUAUACAUGUGUAUGCUAAUUUUGGGUGUUUAUAUCUGUUGUAGAUAUAGUAUAAUUAUCGAACAGCAAAUCCUUGUUUUAUGACAACUACCAUCUUAACCAGUCCUUCAGCACCAAUAUUUAGACAUAUGAAUUAGACUGAGCAUUGCUGUUGGAUUGUCUAAUAUAUAUGAUCGAGGCCUAACUACCAUCUUAACCAGUCCUUCAGAAACAUACCAUUGCCUUAGGUUUCAUAAUUUUUUGUUUGAACAAAAUGGAGGGGUAAAACAGUGGUUAAAUGGGGUUGUGUUGCCCCUUUGGCUUGCUACAGGGUCAUUUGUGUAUUUAGCAUUAGUGUUUGCUUUUCUGCACAACUCUGUAAAGGUAGUCCUUAAUUGCGGAUUAGGUGUUUGGAAGGCAAAUUUAUGUUAGAUGGUUUCUUUGUUAGUUGCUAGGUGGGAUAAUUUGCAACUUCUUGGACUAACACAAACAUGAUUAGUGUUGAUAUCUCAUAGCGAUUGGUGGUGGAUAUAAUAAGUUACACAAUCUAAGCUCUGCUAUCUACUUGCUUUUUCUUUUUUUAUAUAAUAAAUUACACAAUCUAAGCUCUGCUAUCUACUUGCUUUUUCUCCUUCUGUUUAUCUGCAUAACAAAUAGUUUCCUUGAUUUAAGUAAGCUUGUAUGCACAUUACAAGAGACCAAGUUCGUACGACUGUACGUAAAUGAUUGAUCAAAGAAUUAGCCGUUAAGGCGUUAACUGCAGUAGCACGAUCUCUCACUUAAGGUCGCUUGAAGAGUAGUACAAGAAAGUGAGAAUGACUUAUGUAUCUUCAAACAUGUUUUGUUGACAGUGCAUGGUGACGGUCCAGGUAUUUGAUGCGAGGUUGAAGAGGAGGAGCAUGACACUUUGUGGACGCUAUGGGUAUGUAAAUUGUUGGUGCAGCACCUAUGAUCAGAUCCACGUCGACGAGCUUUAGAUAUCUGCGAUGGAGACUAUGAGUUUCUCCGAUCAGAUUCACGGUACUAACAACUCCCUGUCAAUAUCAAAAGUGAAGGUGGCAUGCUUUGAGUUUGUGGGUUUCGUUUUCUUUUCAGAUAUUUUUCUUGUUUUUCUUCCUUCAUCAACAAUAAGUCAACAACCUCUUGUUCCUUAAAUGUGUCAGGAACGAAAAACCAAACAAGAUGGGGUUCGUUAUAGGUUGAAACUCCGACGACAAUGGUCAAAUAUUUGGCCGGCUGCUAGAUGAGGUUAAAAUUGCCCUUUCUAAAGCGAAAAAAUAGAAAUGCUUUUUCUAAAUUCCUUAAUUACCAUAUAGAUAUGUAUAAUAGACAUAGAUUUAGAUAUGUAUAGUUUGAGAUUUAAUUUUGUAUGUGUAGUCUUCUGAUGAUUUCUUUAUUUUGAGAACAUAUUACUUGAGAAAUGUGUUUUUGUAGAUUUAAUGAAGAGCCUUUGUUGGGUUUUUGAUUGA